rnacentral:tRNA from 1 species
AGUCGCGUGUUCUAAUGGUUAUGAUUUGUCGUUCACAACUAUGUGAGCUAGUAGCUACUCUAGUAGUACCGACAAGGUUCCCGGUUCGAUCCCGGGCGCGACUA